rnacentral:tRNA from 1 species
GGAGAGAUGGCCGAGUGGUCGAAGGCGCGCGACUGGAAAUCGCGUAAGCGCCAAAAACGCUUCGUGGGUUCAAAUCCCACUCUCUCCG